CUGCUAGGAAAAGAGGGACUAGUCAGGAGAGGAGGCUAUGAACAUCUUCUGGAGAGAAACAGCCUCCGUGUCAGUUGCCAGGGAUGUGGGGACAGACACACCCAGAUUGAAUCCCAGCCCUGUCAUUUACUCCAUGGGCGGAAGGGAGAAAAUACUCCUGAUGUUCAGUGGAAGACAUUUCAGUUGGAUCCAGGCACACUUGUGCUUUUAAAUGUUUAAUAACCAGCUCCCUGUGGAAAUAGAAACACUGAUUUGUAGCAUUUUCCAGUUGCCACGGUGUAAAUACUUGGAAGCAGCCAACAUGAUGUUGCUAAACAUGGAAGUGGGAAGAAAUGUUCUCUAGCAGCUGAGGUGUGUUGAGAGCCAGUACUGGUAACAUCGCUGGACCCAGGGAAAGAUCUCUCUAAAAUGCUGGAGAAAAUAAGUGGUUCCUGAACUCUGGUGCAGAUUGUUAAAAGAAACUCCCUAAGUUGAAAAGAUGGGAGAUGGAGCCAUAUUACGCCUUCAAACGGCAGAGUUCUCUUUAAACAAUACAUUUUGACAUCCAACACUUAUAGCUACUCAGCUUCCAGGCCCUGACUAAUCCUUCUUUAAAAUCUCUCCUACAUUCACCCACCCCUUCCUCUUUAUGUCCGCCAUGGCCACCCCUGCUCAUGGACUCAGCCUGUCAACUCUGCAACAUUCUCUCUCCCUUCUGUACCAUUGAUAGACUGGACCAAGUCUGCCGUCCCUGUCAGCUUUCAGUGUAUCAUCCCCACUCAAGGUUUAAGGUCACAUCCACUGUAAAUGCUGCUGCCCAGCCUUCCUCCAGUCUCACUCAGUCUGAAAGUGGUCUGAGUGGAAGUCUCAGGUCCUAUGCUUGCUAACUGUGAGCUCCCAUGCAGAUUACAGAACACUCUCCUAGCCUUAACUUCCUUCCCUCUCAGAUGGUCAGCAUGUAUGUGGGGAGAGAUGUUCUCUAAAAUGAUGAGAAUAAAAGAACUUUCUUAGGGUUGUUUUGAAGAUUAAACAA
ensembl:lncRNA